rnacentral:rRNA from 1 species
CUUAAAGGAAUUGACGGGGCCGCACAAGCGGUGAGCAUGUGUUAAUUCGAAGCAACGCGAAGAACCUUUACCAGGUUCUUGACAUCCCGAUGCUAUUUCUAGAGAUAGAAAGUUACUUCGGUACAUCGGUGACAGGUGGUGCAUGGUUGUCGUCAGCUCGUGUCGUGAGAUGUUGGGUUAAGUCCCGCAACGAGCGCAACCCCUAUUGUUAGUUGCCAUCAUUCAGUUGGGCACUCUAGCGAGACUGCCGGUAAUAAACCGGAGGAAGUGGGGAUGACGUCAAAUCAUCAUGCCCCUUAUGACCUGGGCUACACACGUGCUACAAUGGUUGGUACAACGAGUUGCGAGUCGGUGACGGCGAGCUAAUCUCUUAAAGCCAAUCUCAGUUCGGAUUGUAGGCUGCAACUCGCCUACAUGAAGUCGGAAUCGCUAGUAAUCGCGGAUCAGCACGCCGCGGUGAAUACGUUCCCGGGCCUU